rnacentral:lncRNA from 1 species
GAUUUGUGCAUGUUAGCAAAUGUUCACACAAAUACUGACUAAUUUAUUAUUUCUUCUCUGACAGCCAUCAGAAGUUUUUGUUCCCAGAAGUUUCUUGAAGACAUACAUAACUCAUAAAGCAAAGUCUUGCUAUGGUCUACCUACAAAACUCCCAAACCUGGAGCCUUCAAACAGAUAAUACCUGAGGCUGUAAACUAAGAGAGGGCAGUGAAGUGUGAUUUUUGUGUGAUUGUGCAUAAAGCUGGCACAGUGGCAUCCUUUCUGAA